GAUGAACGCUGGCGGCGUGCCUAAUACAUGCAAGUCGAGCGAACAGACGAGGAGCUUGCUCCUCUGACGUUAGCGGCGGACGGGUGAGUAACACGUGGAUAACCUACCUUUAAGACUGGGAUAACUUCGGGAAACCGGAGAUAAUACCGGAUAAUAUAUUGAACCGCAUGGUUCAAUAGUGAAAGACGGUUUUGCUUUCACAUAUAGAUGGAUCCGCGCCGCAUUAGCUAGUGGGUAAUGUAACGGUUUACCAAGGCUACGAUGCGUAGCCGCCCUGAGAGAGUGGUCGGCCAGACUGGAACUGAGACACGGUCCAGACUCCGACGGGAGGCAGCAGUAGGGAAUCUUCCGCUAUGUUCGAAUGCCUGGCGGAGCAACGCCGCGUGAGUGAUGAAGGUCUUCGGAUCGUAAAACUCUGUUAUUAGGGAAGAACAAAUGUGUAAGUAACUAUGCACGUCUUGACGGUACCUUAUCAGAAAGAGACGGCUAACUACGUG
rnacentral:rRNA from 1 species